UACGUAGGGGGCAAGCGUUGUCCGGAAUUAUUGGGCGUAAAGAGCGUGUAGGCGGUCCGGUAAGUCAGCUGUGAAAGUCAAGGGCUCAACCCUUGAAUGCCGGUUGAUACUGUCGGGCUAGAGUCCGGAAGAGGCGAGUGGAAUUCCCGGUGUAGCGGUGAAAUGCGCAGAUAUCGGGAGGAACACCAAUGGCGAAGGCAGCUCGCUGGGACGAUACUGACGCUGAGACGCGAAAGCGUGGGGAGCAAACAGG
rnacentral:rRNA from 1 species